rnacentral:tmRNA from 1 species
CGGUUUUGACAGCGAGAUGAAUGUGUAUGUAAGCAUGUGGUGUAUUGUGGGUUUGCACUUUAAUACCAAUUCACACUUUAUAAACGGCGAGUCUAACUUCGCGCUUGCAGCCUAAUCACUAAGUGAUGAAGCCUUAUUCUGGCACUAGGUGUCAGAACGAGCUGCUCCUGGAAAUACUUUGUUCGACAGUAAUUCUAAUGGGAGUAUCGAUGAGUUUGAACUAAGUCUGUUGGCGUCUCGACAACAGAUCGAAAAUUUAAGAGGAUAAGUUUCAGGUAGGGUGACUGUGUCCGGCCUGAUUUCGAAAACCAAUCGCAGUAUAAACAUGUAGAAGGCUUACGGGUUCCUCGUUUGGACGAGGGUUCGAUCCCCUCC